ensembl:lncRNA
GUCCAGGUCUCUGCAUGCUGAAGCUGGAUGAAGGGUCAGGGUAAGCUGGGGAGGCAGGAAGGGGUCAGUGCAGGAGUGUGAUGAUCACCAGAGGCCUUGUGUCAGGGUUGUUAUGAGAAGGGAAGGAGAAAUACCUCUUUAAAUAAAAGCUUGGGCAUGUUUAGAGCAUGUGCAGAUGCUGAUAGGAGGGACCCUAUAGAGAAGGAGAAUUGAUGGAUAGCGUGUGGUCCUGAGAGUGUCAGAGGGAUAGGAUUUGUAGCUCAGCUCAGGGUUGGCCUGGGACACAAGUAGCAACACCUGUGUGUGAAAAGAGACCAGGAAAGGGGGAUGCAGUGCAGGUGGGCCUUUCUUACAGGUGGCUCACGGGAAGGUGAGGGAGUGCUGGCAGCGACCGUGUUUGCUCUGUGUUAGGAGACUUUGACCUCUGCACUGAGUAGACCUGCUUCAGCAUGAAGGACUGCACUUAAAGGGAUGCAUACUAUUCCAGCUCAAGCAACAGAUACUGAAGUGCAGAUCACUGUCCUUUGUUGAAAAGGAUCAGCAGUUUGUCAACAUAGGUAACACGCCAGAGCAAGCCUUGGGAUGCAACUCUGAAAACAGGUUAGGCCCUCUUUUCCCCAAGCCCUGCAAUAAAAUACAAA